ensembl:lncRNA
UAAAGCUCUAAUAGCAUAAAUAAAGCUCUAAUAGAGGAAAAUAAAGCUCUAACAGGAAAAUAAAGCUCUAACAGAGGAAAUAAAGCUCUAACAGUAAAUAAAGCUCUAAUAGAGUAAAUAAAGCUCUAACAGAGGAAAAUAAAGCUCUAAUAGAGUAAAUAAAGCUCUAACAGAGGAAAAUAAAGCUCUAACAGAGGAAAAUAAAGCUUUAACAGAGGAAAAUAAAGCUCUAACAGAGGAAAUAAAGCUGUAAUAGAAUUAAUAAAGCUCUAAUAGAGUAAAUAAAGCUCUAACAGAGGAAAUAAAGCUCUAAUAGAGUAAAUAAAGCUCUAAUAGAGAAAAUAAAGCACUAAUAGAGUAAAUAAAGCUCUAAUAGAGGAAAUAAAGCUCUAAUAGAGUAAAUAAAUCUGUAAUAGAGGAAAAUAAAGCUCUGACAGGAAAUAAAGCUCUAAUAGAGGAAAAUAAAGCUCUAAUAGAGGAAAUAAAGCUCUAAUAGAGGAAGUAAAGCUCUAAUAGAGUAAAAGCUCUAGUAGAGGUAAAUUAAGCUUUAACAGCUGGCAGUUGAUGCUGGAAGCUCAUUGGGUAUCAGAGCUGUGACCUCGUUAACAGAAUCGGUUCUAAUUAUCUUCUGACACUCGGAGCUGAUGGAGGAUGGAUUUAUGGAGGCAGUAGAUGAGCUGGUUUACAGUUUCUUAUAAUUACAAUUGAUUUUUGAUUAAUCACUAAUGAGAAACACUGGAGGACUGAUGGAGGAGAAAAUAGAGGAAUAACUGGAGGAUUAAAGAGAAGAAAAACUGAUUUAAUCCUGUGUUUAAUGACAGGAAGUUUUCCCCCUUCGACCAGCUGCUCGGCUUUACUACUGACUUCCAGCCACGUCCUUUGAGGUCGGGAUGAAUUUCUGAUACUUCUUGAUGAUGUUUGCACCUGAAACUGUCUGGCAGGUUUUUUUUUACCUUUUCCUUCCUGUUUGACGUUUAAAAUGUGAAGUCCUCUCUGAGCUCUGUGGUUUUUGCCAUGGGGAGUCUGGGUUUAUCCUGAAAAUGACUGAAAUGUCACAAUCAGGUCGACUUUUAUAGUCAGAAAACUGGUUAAAAACAGAAACUCUGAGAUGUUGAACAGAAUAUGAAAGCCUUCAGACCCUCAGAGAGAGAUCGGUCUGUCUGAACAUCCCGUCUGUCUGGUAUCACUGGAGUAUGAAUCAUUACAGUUUAAUUGAACACCUUUAACCGUGUUACUUCACAGAACACAGCAUGUCCUGUUUAUGUCAAAUCUGAGGUGAAAUACUGACGUGUAACAGAAACAGCUAAGAAAUUCUUUGUAUUUGACAGGACCAGAUCUUCUCUUUCAGUGGUUUUUCCUGAAUUAUUUUAUACAUUCUAGGUUAAUACUGAAGACAUCAAAGCUAUGAAAGAACACAGAUGGAAUCGUGCUGUAAAUAAAAAAGAGAUAAUCUUCCGUAUUAAUGUACAACAUAGAAAUAAUACGAUAAAUAAAUAAAAUGCACUAAUGAGAAGCUGUGUCCAGACUACAGACUGGUAGUGUAUUUAUAGGUAGGAACUAACAGGAACAGGCUGUUGUUCAUCAGUUUCAGCGUUUCUGUUAUUUAUUAAGUUUCAUUCUUCUGCUUCCUCCUGCUGGUUGGAACUGGAACUACUGAUGGAACCUUUUGCAUCAUUUAAUCAGAAUCAGUUUAUUCAGCAAAUAAAUGAAGUUUUUAAAAUUAUUUUUGAGCAUUUAAUAUUUAAAUUAUAUUAUAAAUAAUACUAUAGGCUAACCUUAAUAUUUAAGUUGAUGUAACAAAUGAAAUUUUAUAUCAUAAUAUUAUUUUGUCCCUUCUUAACAUGAAUAUUUAAACUAGACAUGUAAAUUAAUAUUUUAUAUCGCAGUGUUACCAUUAAAUUCAAAGUAGAUUCAAAAUCAGU